UCGAGGAUCUUCGGCAAUGGGCGCAAGCCUGACCGAGCGACGCCGCGUGCGCGAUGAAGGCCUUCGGGUUGUAAAGCGCUGUCGAGGGGGAGGAAAGCCGCAAGGCCUGACCUAUCCCUGGAGGAAGCACGGGCUAAGUUCGUGCCAGCAGCCGCGGUAAGACGAACCGUGCGAACGUUGUUCGGAAUCACUGGGCUUAAAGGGCGCGUAGGCGGCUCCACAAGUCGGGGGUGAAAUCUUUCGGCUCAACCGGAAAAGUGCCUCCGAUACUGUGGAGCUCGAGGGAGGUAGGGGCGGACGGAACUUCCGGUGGAGCGGUGAAAUGCGUUGAUAUCGGAAGGAACGCCGGUGGCGAAAGCGGUCCGCUGGCCCUCUACUGACGCUGAGGCGCGAAAGCCAGGGGAGCAAACGGGAUUAGAUACCCCCGUAGUCC
rnacentral:rRNA from 1 species